rnacentral:rRNA from 1 species
UCGAACGGUAACGACACUAGCUUGCUAGUGGGCGACGAGUGGCGGACGGGUGAGUAACGCGUAGGAAUCUACCUAGUAGUGGGGGAUAGCCAAGGGAAACUUUGGGUAAUACCGCAUACGAUCUAAGGAUGAAAGGGGGCCUCUCUUUGAAGCUCUCGCUAUUAGAUGAGCCUGCGUAAGAUUAGCUUGUUGGUGAGGUAAUGGCUCACCAAGGCGACGAUCUUUGGCUGGUCUGAGAGGAUGAUCAGUCACACUGGAACUGAGACACGGUCCAGACUCCUACGGGAGGCAGCAGUCGGGAAUAUUGGACAAUGGGGAAACCCUGAUCCAGCCAUGCCGCGUGUGUGAAGAAGGCCCUAGGGUUGUAAAGCACUUUUAGUAGUGAGGAAGGCUCAGUAGUUAAUACCUACUGGGAUUGACGUUAGCUACAGAAAAAGCACCGGCUAAUUUCGUGCCAGCAGCCGCGGUAAUACGAAAGGUGCAAGCGUUAAUCGGAAUUACUGGGCGUAAAGCGCGCGUAGGCGGCUUGGUAAGUUGGAUGUGAAAGCCCCGGGCUCAACCUGGGAACUGCAUCCAAAACUGCCUGGCUAGAGUAUGGUAGAGGAUGGCGGAAUUUCCUGUGUAGCGGUGAAAUGCGUAGAUAUAGGAAGGAACAUCAGUGGCGAAGGCGGCCAUCUGGACCAAUACUGACGCUGAGGUGCGAAAGCGUGGGGAGCAAACAGGAUUAGAUACCCUGGUAGUCCACGCCGUAAACGAUGAGAACUAGCCGUUGGACAUCUUGCAUGUUUAGUGGCGCAGCUAACGCGAUAAGUUCUCCGCCUGGGGAGUACGGCCGCAAGGUUAAAACUCAAAUGAAUUGACGGGGGCCCGCACAAGCGGUGGA